GAUGAACGCUAGCGGCAGGCCUAAUACAUGCAAGUCAAGGGGUUCAGCAAUGGACACCGGCGGACGGGUGCGUAACGCGUACACAACGUACCUCAGAGCGGGGGAUAGCAUUGGGAAACUGGUGGUAAUACCCCAUGGUGUUGUUGAAUGGCAUCAUUUAACAACUAAAGGUUACACUCUGAGAUCGGUGUGCGUCUGAUUAGCUAGUUGGUAGGGUAACGGCCUACCAAGGCGACGAUCAGUAGGGGGUGUGAGAGCAUGACCCCCCACAUGGGUACUGAGACACGGACCCAACUCCUACGGGAGGCAGCAGUAAGGAAUAUUGGACAAUGGGCGGGAGCCUGAUCCAGCCAUGCCGCGUGAAGGAUGAAGGCGCUCAGCGUUG
rnacentral:rRNA from 1 species